rnacentral:piRNA from 1 species
UCCAAAUGACCCAGAAGAGCCGCCCUCCC